rnacentral:rRNA from 1 species
AUGUCUACCUGUCUCACAGAUAUGAUUAAUGCCAAUGAGAUUGAUUUUAUUGGGUUACAAGAGACUAUGAAAGAGACAUAUAAGCCAUCCUUUUUUAGGAAGCUUGACGUGAGCCAAAAGUUUCAUUGGGAGUGGGUUCCUUCUAGGGGAAAGUCUGGAGGAAUUCUUUGUGGGCUUAGUAAAGAUUUUGAUAUCCUUACGACUAGGCAUGGUAAUUACAUCCUACAGUUAGAUCUGUUUGAUAGGGUCAAGAAUUGUAGUUGGUCUUUGAUGAUUGUAUAUGGUGCUGCUCAUGAUGAACAUAAACCUGAGUUCAUCGCAGAGCUGUCUUCUAUGUGCCAUAAUACUAACAUGCCAUAUUUGGUUGGGGGAGACUUUAAUAUCAUUCGACACAGUGGGGAGAAGAAUAAAAAAUAGCCAUCUCACUUCUCUGAAGUGUUCAAUUCUGUCAUACACCUGCUUGGGUUGAGGGAAAUUCACAUGACAGGUGGUUGUUAUACCCGGUCCAAUAAACAGGCAAACCCAACUUUGGAAAAAUUGGAUAGGGUCCUUAUGUCUCCUGACUGGGAAGAUUUAUAUCCCCUUGCAUUAGUAAAUAAGUUUGUCAAAGAAAAUUCUGAUCACAACCCCCUACUGUUGGAUGGAGGGAGAGCUUCUUCUAAAGCACCAGGUAAUAGGUGUUUUAGAUUUGAUAAUGCUUGGCUUAAGAAUCCAGAUUUCCUUCCCUUGGUAUCUGAGAUCUGGUCAAGACCG